UACGGGGGGGGCAAGCGUUGUUCGGAAUUACUGGGCGUAAAGGGUCUGUAGGUGGCCAACUAAGUCAGACGUGAAAUCCCUCAGCUUAACUGGGGAACUGCGUCUGAUACUGGAUGGCUCGAGUGUGGGAGAGGAAUGCGGAAUUCCAGGUGUAGCGGUGAAAUGCGUAGAUAUCUGGAGGAACACCGGUGGCGAAGGCGGCAUUCUGGACCACAACUGACACUGAGAGACGAAAGCCAGGGGAGCAAACGGG
rnacentral:rRNA from 1 species